AAGCUUGCUUCAAUUGCCGGCGACCGGCGCACGGGUGAGUAACACGUAUCCCACCUUCCGUUUACUCGGGGAUAGCCUUUCGAAAGAAAGAUUAAUACCCGAUAGUAUGGUGAGAUUGCAUGAUAACACCAUUAAAGAUUUAUUGGUAAACGAUGGGGAUGCGUUCCAUUAGGUAGUAGGCGGGGUAACGGCCCACCUAGCCUACGAUGGAUAGGGGUUCUGAGAGGAAGGUCCCCCACAUUGGAACUGAGACACGGUCCAAACUCCUACGGAAGGCAGCAGUGAGGAAUAUUGGUCAAUGGGCGAGAGCCUGAACCAGCCAAGUAGCGUGAAGGAUGAAGGUCCUACGGAUUGUAAACUUCUUUUAUAAGGGAAUAAAACCUCCCACGUGUGGGAGCUUGUAUGUACCUUAUGAAUAAGCAUCGGCUAACUCCGUGCCAGCAGCCGCGGUAAUACGGAGGAUGCGAGCGUUAUCCGGAUUUAUUGGGUUUAAAGGGAGCGCAGACGGGUCGUUAAGUCAGCUGUGAAAGUUUGGGGCUCAACCUUAAAAUUGCAGUUGAUACUGGCGUCCUUGAGUGCGGUUGAGGUGUGCGGAAUUCGUGGUGUAGCGGUGAAAUGCUUAGAUAUCACGAAGAACUCCGAUUG
rnacentral:rRNA from 1 species